GCGCACGUGGUAGGGGAGCGUUCUGUAGGCUGAUGAAGGUGCAUUGAGAAGUGUGCUGGAGGUAUCAGAAGUGCGAAUGCUGACAUGAGUAACGAUAAUGUGGGUGAAAAGCCCACACGCCGGAAGUCCCAGGUUUCCUGCACGACGUUAAUCGGAGCAGGGUGAGUCGGCCCCUAAGGCGAGGCUGAAGAGCGUAGUCGAUGGGAACCAGGUUAAUAUUCCUGGACUUUUUAUAAGUGGUGAAGUGGGGACGAAGAAGGCUAGGUGAGCCAGGCGUUGGUUGUCCUGGUACUUGCAUGUAGGGGGGAAGACUUGGCAAAUCCGGUUUUCCAUAACUCUGAGGUGCGAAGUGGUUCUGACCUUUUGGUACAGAGAAGUCAUUGAUGCCCGGCUUCCAGGAAAAGCUGCUAGCCAUAACUUAUAGAGAACCGUACCGCAAACCGACACAGGUGGACAGGUAGAGAAUACUAAGGCGCUUGAGAGAACUCGGGUGAAGGAACUAGGCAAAAUGGUACCGUAACUUCGGGAGAAGGUACGCCCUUUCUGGUGAUGGGAUUUACUUUCAGAGCUGGAGAGGGCCGCAGAGACCAGGUGGCUGCGACUGUUUAUUAAAAACACAGCACUCUGCAAAUUCGUAAGAAGACGUAUAGGGUGUGACGCCUGCCCGGUGCCGGAAGGUUAAUUGAUGGGGUUAUCUUCGGAGAAGCUCUUGAUCGAAGCCCCGGUAAACGGCGGCCGUAACUAUAACGGUCCUAAGGUAGCGAAAUUCCUUGUCGGGUAAGUUCCGACCUGCACGAAUGGCGUAACGAUGGCCACACUGUCUCCACCCGAGACUCAGUGAAAUUGAAAUCGCUGUGAAGAUGCAGUGUACCCGCGGCUAGACGGAAAGACCCCGUGAACCUUUACUAUAGUUUUGCACUGGACUUUGAUGAUGACUGUGUAGGAUAGGUGGGAGGCUGUGAAGUGAGGACGCUAGUUCUCAUGGAGCCGCCCUUGAAAUACCACCCUGUUGUUAUUGAGGUUCUAACUUGGUCCAGUAAUCCUGGAUGAGGACAGUGUAUGAUGGGUAGUUUGACUGGGGCGGUCUCCUCCCAAAGAGUAACGGAGGAGCACAAAGGUACCCUCGGUACGGUCGGACAUCGUACCAAGAGUGUAAAGGCAAAAGGGUGCUUGACUGCGAGAGUGACGGCUCGAGCAGGAACGAAAGUUGGUCUUAGUGAUCCGGUGGUUCUGAAUGGAAGGGCCAUCGCUCAACGGAUAAAAGGUACUCCGGGGAUAACAGGCUGAUACCGCCCAAGAGUUCAUAUCGACGGCGGUGUUUGGCACCUCGAUGUCGGCUCAUCACAUCCUGGGGCUGAAGCAGGUCCCAAGGGUAUGGCUGUUCGCCAUUUAAAGUGGUACGCGAGCUGGGUUUAGAACGUCGUGAGACAGUUCGGUCCCUAUCUGCCGUGGGCGUAGGAAAAUUGAGAGGAGCUGCUCCUAGUACGAGAGGACCGGAGUGGACGAACCUCUGGUGCACCGGUUGUCACGCCAGUGGCAUGGCCGGGUAGCUAAGUUCGGACGGGAUAACCGCUGAAAGCAUCUAAGCGGGAAGCCUCCCUCAAGAUGAGUUUUCCCAUGAAGCCCGUUGAAGACUACGACGUUGAUAGGCAAGGUGUGGAAGCGCAGUAAUGCGUGAAGCUAACUUGUACUAAUUGGCUGAUUGUCUUGACCAUAUAAUCUGAG
rnacentral:rRNA from 1 species